CCUACGGGAGGCUGCAGUGGGGAAUAUUGGGCAAUGGAGGCAACUCUGACCCAGCAAUGCCGCGUGAGUGAUGAAGGUAAUUUUAUUGUAAAGCUCUUUUCUUUGGAACGAAUAAAUGACGGUACCAAAGGAAUAAGCCCCGGCUAACUACGUGCCAGCAGCCGCGGUAAUACGGGGGGUGCAAGCGUUGUCCGGAAUCAUUGGGCGUAAAGAGUUCGUGGGCGGCACGUAAAGUCUGGUGUUAAAGGCAGAGGCUCAACUUCUGUACGGCACUGGAUACUUGCGAGCUAGAAUGCGGUAGAGGUAAAGGGAAUUCCUGGUGUAGCGGUGAAAUGCUUAGAUAUCAGGAGGAACAUCGGUGGCGUAAGCGCUUUACUGGGCCGUAAUUGACGCUGAGGAACGAAAGCCAGGGUAGCAAAUGGGAUUAGAUACCCCAGUAGUC
rnacentral:rRNA from 1 species